rnacentral:rRNA from 1 species
UACGUAGGGUGCAAGCGUUGUCCGGAAUUAUUGGGCGUAAAGAGCUCGUAGGCGGUUUGUCGCGUCUGCUGUGAAAACCUCAGGCUCAACCUGGGGCUUGCAGUGGGUACGGGCAGACUAGAGUGCGGUAGGGGUGACUGGAAUUCCUGGUGUAGCGGUGGAAUGCGCAGAUAUCAGGAGGAACACCGAUGGCGAAGGCAGGUCUCUGGGCAGUAACUGACGCUGGAGGAGCGAAAGCCGUGGGGAGCGAACAGG